GUACAGGUGGCCGAGUGGUUAAAGGCAUCAGACUGUAAAUCUGACGACAUUGUCUACGCUGGUUCAAAUCCAGCCCUGUGCA
rnacentral:tRNA from 1 species